AACCUUUACUUCCCAUUCAAAUAAGUUUAGAAGAAACCUAUACAUAUAAGCAAUAAAACCAGACCAAGAAUGCUUGAUUACAAACGAUGAACUCAUUUCAUUUGCAGGUUAUGCCAUGACAUAAAUGCAUUAAAUUAGGAAGAUUUGUAUUGGAUGAAUUACCCAGAUAACAAUUAAAACAACUUCUGUUGAUAAGAACAUUUGAUUGGUGGAAUCCAGAUUCUGUGAAUGUACAUGUAAUUGAUUGACAAGUACACAUUUGACAAGGUGGUGAGAAACGAGUAGAUCUGGCCUGCUUACAGUGGCUAUUGGAUUGGACAGAACCAAAGUGAGAGUGAACGUGUCAAUUUAUGGAGAACAUUAAACUAUUUUACUAUAAGUCAUAACGCAACUUAUUUUGUAUGAGUUGCAUACAAAUGUCAAGCCGUGAGUACAUUAUGUAAAAACUAAAACAAUGUACUGUAAUCACAAUAGUAACUGUAAUCUUUUAAAAUCCAAUAGUUUUAAUGCUUAUUGAUUUUCGUAAACAAAAUAUUUCAUGUUACAUUUCGUCAAUAAAGUUUCAUUUGAUA